rnacentral:rRNA from 1 species
CCCUUCUAUGUCCUGGGCUGCACGCGUGCUACACUGAUGCAUACAGCAAGUUCCUAGCCUGAAAAGGUAUGGCAAUCUCGAAUAUGCAUCGUGAUGGGGAUAGAUCUUUGCAAUUAUAGAUCUUGAACGAGGAAUUCCUAGUAAGUGUAAGUCAUCAUCUUACAUUGAUUAUGUCCCUGCCCUUUGUACACACCGCCCGUCGCUCCUACCGAUAUCGGGUGAUGUGCUGAACCAGUUGGACAGCCAUGCUGAAAAACUCGUAAAGCUUAUCACCUAGAGGAAGGAGAAGUCGUAACA